AGUGAACGCUGGCGGUAGGCCUAACACAUGCAAGUCGAACGGCAGCACAGUAAGAGCUUGCUCUUACGGGUGGCGAGUGGCGGACGGGUGAGGAAUACAUCGGAAUCUACUUUUUCGUGGGGGAUAACGUAGGGAAACUUACGCUAAUACCGCAUACGACCUACGGGUGAAAGCAGGGGAUCUUCGGACCUUGCGCGAUUGAAUGAGCCGAUGUCGGAUUAGCUAGUUGGCGGGGUAAAGGCCCACCAAGGCGACGAUCCGUAGCUGGUCUGAGAGGAUGGUCAGCCACACUGGAACUGAGACACGGUCCAGACUCCUACGGGAGGCAGCAGUGGGGAAUAUUGGACAAUGGGCGCAAGCCUGAUCCAGCCAUACCGCGUGGGUGAAGAAGGCCUUCGGGUUGUAAAGCCCUUUUGUUGGGAAAGAAAAGCAGCAGGUUAAUACCCAGCUGUUCUGACGGUACCCAAAGAAUAAGCACCGGCUAACUUCGUG
rnacentral:rRNA from 1 species